rnacentral:rRNA from 1 species
UACGGAGGGUGCAAGCGUUGUUCGGAUUUAUUGGGCGUAAAGCGCGUGUAGGCGGUUUCUUAAGUCUGAUGUGAAAGCCCUGGGCUCAACCCAGGAAGUGCAUUGGAUACUGGGAGACUUGAAUACGGGAGAGGGUAGUGGAAUUCCUAGUGUAGGAGUGAAAUCCGUAGAUAUUAGGAGGAACACCGGUGGCGAAGGCGGCUCACUGGCCCGGUACUGACGCCGAGGUGCGAAAGCGUGGGGAGCAAACAGG